rnacentral:lncRNA from 1 species
CACAAGAUCAGCAUACUGCCUUCCAGGUGUUUUGAGGGAGCGCUGACUUUGGACCAGUGUGAAGACAAGCAGAACUGGAACUGGAAGACAAAGCAUCACCCAUGCUGGCUUAAAGAGACCAGAAAUAAUCCAGGCAUUCUAGUUCAGAAAUAACACCUUGUUAAGAAGGUAAAUGGCAAUCAAGCACAUGUGCUUUGUGAAAACCUCUGGAUCUAAAACAGGCAAGAAAGCAGCACUGUGUGCUGCUGCUGAAUACCUUGACUACUUCCAAGAUGAGAUGAGCCUCAUGGAAGAGGUGCUGGCCAGAGUGAGAACUGCUGGCCAAUCAGCAUCAACAUCGUGCCUUACUGAAGGCCAACAACACCGUCCCUAAUUACAUUCACCUAAAAUGUUUGUAAAGUCAAAUUAUGUCCCU